UGUGUGUGUGUUGUGUGUGCGUGUGCGUGGGUUGUUAUGAAAAGUAAAUUGCCAUGUUGCAGUCACUAUAGUAACCGCCUUCAAACUAGGAGACCACACACACACACACACACACACACACACA
rnacentral:miRNA from 14 species